rnacentral:rRNA from 1 species
AACUUGAGAGUUUGAUCCUGGCUCAGAACGAACGCUGGCGGCAGGCUUAACACAUGCAAGUCGAACGCCCCGCAAGGGGAGUGGCAGACGGGUGAGUAACGCGUGGGAAUCUACCCAGUUCUACGGAACAACAGUUGGAAACGACUGCUAAUACCGUAUACGCCCUAAGGGGGAAAGAUUUAUCGGAAUUGGAUGAGCCCGCGUUGGAUUAGCUAGUUGGUGAGGUAAUGGCUCACCAAGGCGACGAUCCAUAGCUGGUCUGAGAGGAUGAUC